rnacentral:rRNA from 1 species
GAUUAACGCUGGCGGCGUGCCUAACACAUGCAAGUCGAACGAUGAAACUUAGUAUACUUCUUCGGAACGACACUAAGCGGAUUAGUGGCGAACGGGUGAGUAACCCGUGAGUAACCUGCAUUACACAAGGGGAUAGCUUAUGGAAACGAAGAAUAAUACCCUAUAAAACUAUAAAAGCACAUGCUAUCACGGUCAAAGUGAUAGCGGUGUAAGAUGGACUUGCGUCUGAUUAGCUAGUAGGAGAGAUAAAAGCUCAACAAGGCAACGAUCAGUAGCCGGCUUGGGAGAGUGGACGGCAACAUUAGGACUGAGACACGGCCCAAAUUCCUACGGAAGGCAGCAGUGGUGAAUUUGGCACGAUGGGUGAAUCACGAAGGCAUCGACGCUGCGUAAUUUAGAAGGCCUUCAGGUUGUAAUAAGCUUUUGUAUAGGAAGAAGAUGACAGUACUAUACGAAUAAGAUCCGGCUAAUUACGUG